GAUGAAGAACGUAGCGAAUUGCGAUAAGUAAUGUGAAUUGCAGAAUUCAGUGAAUCAUCGAAUCUUUGAACGCACCUUGCGCUCCUUGGUAUUCCGAGGAGCAUGCCUGUUUGAGUGUCAUUAAUAUAUCAACCUUCUCUUUUUUGAGUUGUUUGGAUGUGGGGGUUUGCUGGCCUCUUAAAUGAUUCAGCUCCCCUGAAAUGCAUUAGCAGAACAACCUGUUCAUUAGCGUGAUAAUUAUCUAUGCUAUUGAAUGUGAGGGCAGUUCAGCUUUCUAACCGUCCUUGGACAAUUCAUCAUUAAUGUGACCUCAAAUCAGGUAGGACUACCCGCUGAACUUAAGCAUAUCAAUAAGCGGAGGA
rnacentral:misc_RNA from 1 species